UAGGAAGGGGGCUCGCGUUGUUCGGAAUUACUGGGCGUAAAGCGCACGUAGGCGGCUCUGUAAGUUGGGGGUGAAAUCCCGAGGCUCAACCUCGGAAUUGCCUUCAAGACUGCAGGGCUUGAGUUCGGGAGAGGUGAGUGGAAUUCCCAGUGUAGAGGUGAAAUUCGUAGAGAUUGGGAAGAACACCAGUCGCGAAGGCGGCUCACUGGCCCGUAACUGACGCUGAGGUGCGAAAGCGUGGGGAGCAAACAGG
rnacentral:rRNA from 1 species